AACGAACGCUGGCGGCGUGCCUAACACAUGCAAGUCGAGCGAGAAAGGGGAGGCAACUCCCUGAGUAAAGCGGCGCACGGGUGAGUAACACGUAGGUAACCUACCCCAGAGCCUGGGAUAACCUACCGAAAGGUGGGCUAAUACCGGAUAUGACCACGGGAGCUACGACUCCUGCGGUGAAAGGUGGCCUCUGCUUGCAAGCUACCGCUCCGAGAUGGGCCUGCGCGCCAUUAGCUAGUUGGUGGGGUAACGGCUCACCAAGGCGAUGAUGGCUCGCUGGUCUGAGCGGAUGGCCAGCCACACUGGGACUGGAACACGGCCCAGACUCCUACGGGAGGCAGCAGCGGGGGAUAUUGCGCAAUGGGCGAAAGCCUGACGCAGCGACGCCGCGUGGGUGAUGAAGGCCUUCGGGUCGUAAAGCCCUGUCGAGGGGGAAGAAACGGCUUGGACUGAAUACGUCCAAGUCCUGACGGUACCCCUAAAGGAAGCACCGGCUAACUCCGUGCCAGCAGCCGCGGUAAGAC
rnacentral:rRNA from 1 species